CUGAACUUAAGCAUAUCAAAGACCCGGGAGGAGAA
rnacentral:rRNA from 1 species